UCGCCCUUAGAGUUUGAUCCUGGCUCAGGAUGAACGCUGGCGGCGUGCUUAGCACAUGCAAGUCGAGGGGAAACGAUAGAGAAAGCUUGCUUUUUCUAGGCGUCGACCGGCGCACGGGUGAGUAACGCGUAUCCAACCUGCCCACCACUUGGGGAUAACCUUGCGAAAGUAAGACUAAUACCCAAUGAUAUCUCAAGAAGACAUCUGAAUGAGAUUAAAGAUUUAUCGGUGAUGGAUGGGGAUGCGUCUGAUUAGCUUGUUGGCGGGGUAACGGCCCACCAAGGCGACGAUCAGUAGGGGUUCUGAGAGGAAGGUCCCCCCACAUUGGAACUGAGACACGGUCCAAACUCCUACGGGAGGCAGCAGUGAGGAAUAUUGGUCAAUGGGCGAGAGCCUGAACCAGCCAAGUAGCGUGCAGGAUGACGGCCCUAUGGGUUGUAAACUGCUUUUAUAAGGGAAUAAAGUGAGUCUCGUGAGGCUUUUUUGCAUGUACCUUAUGAAUAAGGACCGGCUAAUUCCGUGCCAGCAGCCGCGGUAAUACGGAAGGUCCGGGCGUUAUCCGGAUUUAUUGGGUUUAAAGGGAGCAUAGGCCGGAGAUUAAGCGUGUUGUGAAAUGUAGACGCUCAACGUCUGCACUGCAGCGCGAACUGGUUUCCUUGAGUACGCACAAAGUGGGCGGAAUUCGUGGUGUAGCGGUGAAAUGCUUAGAUAUCACGAAGAACUCCGAUUGCGAAGGCAGCUCACUGGAGCGCAACUGACGCUGAAGCUCGAAAGUGCGGGUAUCGAACAGGAUUAGAUACCCUGGUAGUCCGCACGGUAAACGAUGGAUGCCCGCUGUUGGUCUGAAUAGGUCAGCGGCCAAGCGAAAGCAUUAAGCAUCCCACCUGGGGAGUACGCCGGCAACGGUGAAACUCAAAUGAAUUGACGG
rnacentral:rRNA from 1 species